CUACUUCCGGCGGAGCGAAUUUGAGGAGUUGAGGAGUUGAGACUAAAACAAACAUGUACUACGUAGUGUAGGAUGUAAACAUGGAUUUAGUUUACAAGGGACAAGAACAACAUUGGUUAACUAGAAAUUUGAAAAAAGAUGAUAAAGAUCAUUAUCUGUGUCCUCUGUGUCCAGCUGCUGGAAACAAGAAGCUUUCCAUAUUUAAACCAACACCUUUAGUUCAGCAUGUUAUAACACAUUUUGAAACUUACCAUCUUCGAAACAGAGUAGAUCAUAAAGAACUUGUUUUUCUACCAUGUUAUUUGGAUUGUGUCAAAGGACGAAUAAAUUAUUGCUCUGUCUUUCAUUACCACUGUUCUUGUGGCCAUGUCUUCACUCCAAAAAACAAAAUGAUUUCCCACUUAAAAAUUUGUCGUGACCAUAGAACUGCUGAUGAAAUAGAAUAUGGAGUUGAAAUUGAAAUAAAUCCUGUUUCUAGAGGAGAAUUACCUGAUGACAGUCAGAAGUCAAUAACGUUUGAGGAUAUAAAUGUAAAGAUUGGUGAAGAAAAUAAAUGGUUCGAUAAAAAUGUAAGAAGAUGGAAAGACAAAUACCAAUGUCCUUUAUGCCCUGCCUAUAAAAUUGGACUCAAAUCUCUGAAACUGAUUAAAAUGCAUUGGAGACAGGUUCAUUUACAUCAUGUCAUUAAAGGACAAGGUGUGGAGGUUAUUUGAUUGUUGAUUUCACGUUUCUACUUUCUCAAGCUGGAAAGUAUAAAACUAGAAAAACAGCUGUUGAUUUAGGGAGUGCCGCAAAAUUUCAGCACUUGCAUCCAAACUAAUUACCUGUGGAUAAAUCUUGACUCACCUGUCAAUCUGCACUGAGAGGGUCUGUGUUUUUUGCCUUGUUUCUUUAGAUGCAUAUGUAACCCUUCAUUUAUGGCUAAGGCUCACUACCAUUGUAGCUGUGGUCUUAUAAAAGAAGGAAAGAUUAAUUUUUUAAGCCACCUGAGAUGUGGAGAAGGUCAUGAGGAUGAUGUUGACGACAUGGAAGAAAAGGAUACUUUCGAAGGGCUGGAAUGGAGCGAUGUUAAUAUACCUGAAGGAAAGGAAGUGGACUGGUUAAAAGAAAAUGCAGUUAAAACAGUAGCUCAAUCUUUGUUUGUCUGUGCUUUAUGUGCAUCAAAGACGUUUGAACCCUGUACUAAUACACAGCUUAGGAUGCACUGGAAAAGAAAACAUGUAAAGCUUAAAGUUGCACAUAGAGGUAUAGCAUACAUGCCCUGUUAUUUUCCUUGCUGUAUACAAUGGGAACACAGAGCACAAUAUCAACCGGGGAAAAAAGCACAUUAUCAUUGCAGCUGUGGUAAAUUUAUUUUCCGUAAGCCAAAGAUGAAAACUCAUUUAGAAUUCGGCGAAGAACAUCAGCCAGGUUAUAAACUAAAAUCUGAAAACAUUGAUCAUGUGUAUAACAAACCUGUUGAACAGGAAGAUAAACUCAAACCUGAUAAACAGGUAGAUAAACUCAAACCUGAUAAACAGAAAGAAAAAACAAAACCCAAACCUGAUAAGCAGAAAGAAAGGCCUGAAGCUAAAUCGGUUCAAACACAUACUUUUGUAGAUUGUGGUACUUGUCCAGGAUGUUUUGCAGAUUUCGCUAAGAGUUACCUCUCCAGACACUUAAAGAGUUGUAAGAAAUACCAGAGUGAUCUCGCCAGUGGACUUACUUGUAGUAUUAAGUUAAAUAAAGCAGCAAAUAUUAAAAAGAUUGUUAAGAUAAGGACAAUGAGAGCAAAACAAAUAAACAUGCCCUCAAAAGUUAACAACAGAUAAUUAAUCUGUUGAGGAACAUAGUGAAAUAAUGGAGGAUAUUUUGAUGACUAUUUAUGACGACUCCCCGCCCAAAAAUCCUGUCGUGCAAAACCACCAUCAUCUAAAUAGUUUCUCUGCACCAAAUCUAUCUUGAUAGCACAAACAUGUUAAAGGUUUAUUGAAAAUGCAGUACAGUUUUUCUUAAGUGAUGUACAAUACAGUUUACUAGCACACUGUGUUUCUACAUUAAAUGGUUCUGUUUGUGUUAAAAUAGGAUCAUAAAACCUUGCAAGGGAAGAAUUAGAAGGGUUUAUGUACCGUUGCAUUUUAACAUGAAUAUACGAUGUUUUGUAUGUAUAAAAAUCAGUUUUGAUUACACA